rnacentral:rRNA from 1 species
GACGAACGCUGGCGGCGUGCUUAACACAUGCAAGUCGAACGGAAAGGCCAUGCUCUUGUGGGGUGCACGAGUGGCGAACGGGUGAGUAACACGCGUGUAACCUGUACUUGACUUUGGGAUAACACCAGGAAACUGCGGCUAAUAUCGGAUAGGAGCUCCUGCUGCAUGGUGGGGGUUGGUAAGAUUCGGCGGUUGGGGAUGGACUCGCGGCUUAUCAGCUUGUUGGUGAGGUAGUGGCUUACCAAGGCUUCGACGGGUAGCCGGCCUGAGAGGGUGACCGGCGACAUUGGGACUGAGAUACGGACCAGACUCCUACGGGAGGCAGCAGUGGGGAAUAUUGCACAGUGGGCGGAAGCCUGAUGCAGCAACGCCGCGUGCGGGAUGACGGCCUUCGGGUUGUAAACCACUUUCUCCUGUGACGAGGCGUGAGUGACGGUAAUGAGUAAAGAAGCACCGGCUAACUACGUG